rnacentral:rRNA from 1 species
GACGAACGCUGGCGGCGUGCCUAACACAUGCAAGUCGAACGGAGCUGUCGGAGCUUGCUUUGACAGCUUAGUGGCGAACGGGUGAGUAACGCGUGAGCAACCUGCCCUUGAGAGGGGGAUAACAUCGGGAAACCGAUGCUAAUACCGCAUAAAAUAUGCAGAUGGCAUCAUUGGCAUAUCAAAGGAGAAAUCCGCUCAAGGAUGGGCUCGCGUCUGAUUAGAUAGUUGGUGAGGUAACGGCCCACCAAGUCGACGAUCAGUAGCCGGACUGAGAGGUUGACCGGCCACAUUGGGACUGAGACACGGCCCAGACUCCUACGGGAGGCAGCAGUGGGGAAUAUUGGGCAAUGGGGGGAACCCUGACCCAGCAACGCCGCGUGAAGGAAGAAGGCCUUCGGGUUGUAACGUUACUUUGUACAGGGGAAGGAAGGAAGUAGACGGUACCCGUCGAGAACAAGACUCCGGCUAACUACGUGCCAGCAGCCGCGGUAAAGUACUACUAU